UACGGAGGGUGCAAGCGUUAUCCGGAUUCACUGGGUUUAAAGGGUGCGUAGGAGGGCAGGGAAGUCAGUGGUGAAAUCUGUGGGCUUAACCCACAAACUGCCGUUGAUACUCUCUGUCUUGAAUAUGGUGGAGGUGAGCGGAAUAUGUCAUGUAGCGGUGAAAUGCUUAGAUAUGACAUAGAACACCAAUUGCGAAGGCAGCUCGCUACACCUAUAUUGACUCUGAGGCACGAAAGCGUGGGGAUCAAACAGG
rnacentral:rRNA from 1 species